rnacentral:rRNA from 1 species
AGGACGAACGCUGGCGGCGUGCUUAACACAUGCAAGUCGAGCGGUAAGGCCCUUCGGGUACACGAGCGGCGAACGGGUGAGUAACACGUGGGUAACCUGCCCUGUACUGUGGGAUAAGCCUGGGAAACUGGGUCUAAUACCGCAUAUGACUGCAUCCUGCAUGGGGUGUGGUGGAAAGUUCUGGCGGUACAGGAUGGGCCCGCGGCCUAUCAGCUUGUUGGUGGGGUGAUGGCCUACCAAGGCGACGACGGGUAGCCGGCCUGAGAGGGCGACCGGCCACACUGGGACUGAGACACGGCCCAGACUCCUACGGGAGGCAGCAGUGGGGAAUAUUGGACAAUGGGCGCAAGCCUGAUCCAGCAAUGCCGCGUGAGUGAUGAAGGCCUUCGGUUGUAAAGCUCUUUCGCACGCGACGAUGAUGACGGUAGCGUGAGAAGAAGCCCGGCUAACUCGCGCCAGCAGCCGCGGU